rnacentral:rRNA from 1 species
CGUGCUUAACACAUGCAAGUCGAACGAUGAAGCCCAGCUUGCUGGGUGGAUUAGUGGCGAACGGGUGAGUAACACGUGAGUAACCUGCCCUUGACUCUGGGAUAAGCGUUGGAAACGACGUCUAAUACCGGAUACGAGCUUCCACCGCAUGGUGAGUUGCUGGAAAGAAUUUUGGUCAAGGAUGGACUCGCGGCCUAUCAGCUUGUUGGUGAGGUAACGGCUCACCAAGGCGACGACGGGUAGCCGGCCUGAGAGGGUGACCGGCCACACUGGGACUGAGACACGGCCCAGACUCCUACGGGAGGCAGCAGUGGGGAAUAUUGCACAAUGGGCGAAAGCCUGAUGCAGCAACGCCGCGUGAGGGACGACGGCCUUCGGGUUGUAAACCUCUUUUAGCAGGGAAGAAGCGAAAGUGACGGUACCUGCAGAAAAAGCACCGGCUAACUACGUGCCAGCAGCCGCGGUAAUACGUAGGGUGCAAGCGUUGUCCGGAAUUAUUGGGCGUAAAGAGCUCGUAGGCGGUUUGUCGCGUCUGCUGUGAAAUCCCGAGGCUCAACCUCGGGUCUGCAGUGGGUACGGGCAGACUAGAGUGCGGUAGGGGAGAUUGGAAUUCCUGGUGUAGCGGUGGAAUGCGCAGAUAUCAGGAGGAACACCGAUGGCGAAGGCAGAUCUCUGGGCCGCUACUGACGCUGAGGAGCGAAAGGGUGGGGAGCAAACAGGCUUAGAUACCCUGGUAGUCCACCCCGUAAACGUUGGGCGCUAGAUGUG